rnacentral:rRNA from 1 species
GACGAACCGUGCGAACGUUGUUCGGAAUCACUGGGCUUAAAGGGCGCGUAGGCGGCCUGCCAAGUCAGGGGUGAAAGCCCCCAGCUCAACUGGGGAAGUGCCUUUGAUACUGGCGGGCUUGAGCGAGGUAGGGGUCGUGGGAACUUCCGGUGGAGCGGUGAAAUGCGUUGAUAUCGGAAGGAACGCCGGUGGCGAAAGCGCACGACUGGACCUCUCCUGACGCUGAGGCGCGAAAGCCAGGGGAGCGAACGGG